rnacentral:rRNA from 1 species
GAGUUUGAUCGUGGCUCAGAGUGAACGCUGGCGGUAGGCCUAACACAUGCAAGUCGAACGGCAGCACAGGGGAGCUUGCUCCCUGGGUGGCGAGUGGCGGACGGGUGAGGAAUACAUCGGAAUCUACCCUGUCGUGGGGGAUAACCUCGGGAAACCGGGACUAAUACCGCAUACGACCUUCGGUGAAGUAGGGAGUCGCAAGACCUUACGCGAUUGGAUGAGCCGAUGUCGGAUUAGCUUGUUGGCGGGGUAAAAGGACCCACCAAGGCGACGAUCCGUAGCUGGUCUGAGAGGAUGAUCAGCCACACUGGAACUGAGACACGGUCCAGACUCCUACGGGAGGCAGCAGUGGGGAAUAAUUGGACAAUGGGCGGCAAGCCUGAUCCAGCCAUACCGCGUGGGUGAAGAAGGCCUUCGGUUGUAAG